CGAUGAACCACUUCGGUGGGGAUUAGUGGCGAACGGGUGAGUAACACGUGGGCAAUCUGCCCUUCACUCUGGGACAAGCCCUGGAAACGGGGUCUAAUACCGGAUACGACCUGCCAAGGCAUCUUGGUGGGUGGAAAGCUCCGGCGGUGAAGGAUGAGCCCGCGGCCUAUCAGCUUGUUGGUGAGGUAACGGCUCACCAAGGCGACGACGGGUAGCCGGCCUGAGAGGGCGACCGGCCACACUGGGACUGAGACACGGCCCAGACUCCUACGGGAGGCAGCAGUGGGGAAUAUUGCACAAUGGGCGAAAGCCUGAUGCAGCGACGCCGCGUGAGGGAUGACGGCCUUCGGGUUGUAAACCUCUUUCAGCAGGGAAGAAGCGAAAGUGACGGUACCUGCAGAAGAAGCGCCGGCUAACUACGUGCCAGCAGCCGCGGUAAUACGUAGGGCGCAAGCGUUGUCCGGAAUUAUUGGGCGUAAAGAGCUCGUAGGCGGCUUGUCACGUCGGUUGUGAAAGCCCGGGGCUUAACCCCGGGUCUGCAGUCGAUACGGGCAGGCUAGAGUUCGGUAGGGGAGAUCGGAAUUCCUGGUGUAGCGGUGAAAUGCGCAGAUAUCAGGAGGAACACCGGUGGCGAAGGCGGAUCUCUGGGCCGAUACUGACGCUGAGGAGCGAAAGCGUGGGGAGCGAACAGGACUCAGAUACCCUGGUAGUCCACGCCGUAAACGGUGGGCACUAGGUGUGGGCAACAUUCCACGUUGUCCGUGCCGCAGCUAACGCAUUAAGUGCCCCGCC
rnacentral:rRNA from 1 species